rnacentral:piRNA from 1 species
UCUAAAUCCCCGGAGGAGACCCCUGUUC